rnacentral:rRNA from 1 species
UAUAGCCAUAUCACCCUGCAGCCCAAGACCGGGUACUCGCCACUGAAGUUAGGCAGGGCUGAGCCUGGUCAGUACCUGAAUGGGAGACCACAUGGACAAGCUAGGUUGCAGCUGGAA